rnacentral:rRNA from 1 species
GGUGGAGCGAUUUGUCUGGUUUAUUCCGAUAACGAGCGAGACGCACCCCUACUUAAUACACCGCGAAUAACUUUGUUCGCAGGUGUUCUUAGAGGAAUUGGCGGUAUCGAGCCGCACGAAAGUGCGCAAUAACAGGUCUGUGAUGCCCUUAGAUGUUCGGGGCUGCACGCGUGCUACACUGGAGUCUGCAACGUGUUCCAUGGCCGAAGGGUCACUGGUAAACCGUUGAAAAGAUUCCGUGAUCGGGAUAGGGAAUUGCAAUUAUUUCCCUUGAACGAGGAAUUCCUAGUAAGUGUGAGUCAUCAUCUCGCUCUUAAUACGUCCCUGCCCUUUGUAC